rnacentral:rRNA from 1 species
GACGAACGCUGGCGGCGUGCCUAAUACAUGCAAGUCGAACGAGAGCGACCGGUGCUUGCACUGGUCAAUCUAGUGGCGAACGGGUGAGUAACACAUGGGUAACCUGCCCAUCAGAGGGGGAUAACAUCCGGAAACGGAUGCUAAAACCGCAUAGGUCUUCGAACCGCAUGGUUUGAAGAGGAAAAGAGGCGCAAGCUUCUGCUGAUGGAUGGACCCGCGGUGCAUUAGCUAGUUGGUGAGGUAACGGCUCACCAAGGCCGUGAUGCAUAGCCGACCUGAGAGGGUGAUCGGCCACAUUGGGACUGAGACACGGCCCAAACUCCUACGGGAGGCAGCAGUAGGGAAUCUUCCGCAAUGGACGCAAGUCUGACGGAGCAACGCCGCGUGAGUGAAGAAGGUUUUCGGAUCGUAAAACUCUGUUGUUAGAGAAGAACAAGUGCUAGAGUAACUGUUAGCGCCUUGACGGUAUCUAACCAGAAAGCCACGGCUAACUACGUG